rnacentral:misc_RNA from 1 species
AGAAUGGAAUUAACCACCCUGG